rnacentral:tRNA from 1 species
UGGCCCGUGGUGUAACGGCAGCACAUCUGAUUUUGGUUCAGAGAGACCUAGUUCGAAUCGAGGCGGGCCAG